AUAAAUAAGCGGAGGAAAAGAAACUAACGAGGAUUCCCCUAGUAACGGCGAGUGAACGGGGAAAAGCCCAGCGCCGAAGCCCUCGUCCCGUGGGACGAUGGGCGUUGUGGCGUUAGGGAGGAACCUCUCCCGGCAGUUUGUGGAAGCCCAAGUCCCCCUGACCGGGGCCACAGCCCGUGGUGGGUGCAAGGCCCGUGUGGCUUUUUCUGCGUCUGCCGGACGGUUCUCUCCCCGGAGUCGGGUUGCUUGGGAGUGCAGCCCUAAGCGGGUGGUAAACUCCACCGAAGGCUAAAUACCUCCACGAGACCGAUAGCAAACAAGUACCGUGAGGGAAAGUUGCAAAGAACUUUGAAGAGAGAGUUCAAGAGUACGUGAAACCGCUCGGAGGCAAACGGGUGGGCCCUCGAAGGUCGAACGGGGGGAUUCAACCCGUCCGCAGGCAUGGUUGCGCGUCACGGAUGGCGAGGCAUCGGGGGUUUUCUCCCCGUGUCUUGCCUUACGGAUCCGAACGUCGGACCGGUCCGUGGCACCAAAGUUAUAUCUUUGCGGCGACCGCGGGCAGGCGCACUUCCCCCUCAGUAGGACGCCGCGACCGGUCGGGUAUCGAAAGAAAAAGCGGCUUUGCAGCGGGACGACGGCAGGUAUCCGUCGCCGGUCACCUUUCUCUCGUCCCUUGUGGCGGGGGAAAAGCCGGUCGGAAUUACAGCUGGUCUCCGCUUCGGUUGCUGCCCGACCGAGGAACUGCGUGCCCGCGCUGUCACGUGACUUCGGUUGCGUGAGACGCGCGGUUCGCCCACCUGGCAGGCUGGGCCACCGGGUACCGGACGCCCCUAGUUUGGCGGUCGGCUAUCUCGCUGUGGCUCGCUGGUGGUCGGGCGUAGCUGCUCUCGUGGUGGCGCUCGUGGUCAGCGGCGAGUAGGUCGGUCGCCCACCCGACCCGUCUUGAAACACGGACCAAGGAGUCUAACAUGUGCGCGAGUCGCAGGGUUGACUCGCAAGUUGAAACCCGAAGGCGAAAUGAAAGUGAAAGUCGGUGCGUCUGGCCGACUGAGGCGGGAUCCGUCCGGGUAUCGCUGUAGCCCUUGAGGGGGCUGCGGGAGCCCGGCGGCGCACCGCCGGCCCGUCUCGACCGCUUCCUGUCGGCGAGGCGGAGCAAGAGCGCACACGUUGGGACCCGAAAGAUGGUGAACUAUGCUCGGGCAGGACGAAGCCAGAGGAAACUCUGGUGGAGGUCCGUAGCGAUUCUGACGUGCAAAUCGAUCGUCGGACCUGAGUAUAGGGGCGAAAGACUAAUCGAACCGUCUAGUAGCUGGUUCCCUCCGAAGUUUCCCUCAGGAUAGCUGGUGCUCGGUGAGGAACGCAGUCUCAUCCGGUAAAGCGAAUGAUUAGAGGCCUUGGGGCCGAAUCGACCUCAACCUAUUCUCAAACUUUCAAUGGGUGAGAAGUCCGGCUUGCCUGACUGAAGCCCGGACCAAAUCUGAUCCGACAGGGUGUCGAUCUGACAGUGUUGUCGGGGAGUAAAAUCCUCGGCAACCUGGCUGCGGCCCUGCUCGGUACGGAUGCGAGUGCCCAGUGGGCCAAUUUUGGUAAGCAGAACUGGCGCUGUGGGAUGAACCAAACGCCGGGUUACGGCGCCCGAUGCGGACGCUCAUCAGACCCCAUGAAAGGUGUUGGUUGCUAUAGACAGCAGGACGGUGGCCAUGGAAGUCGGAAUCCGCUAAGGAGUGUGUAACAACUCACCUGCCGAAGCAACUAGCCCUGAAAAUGGAUGGCGCUCCAGCGUCGAGCCGAUACCCGGCCGCCGGGGCAGAGACUUUGUGGCGAUCCUACAAAAGAAAUGCCCCGGUGAGUAGGAGGGUCGCGGCGGUGUGCGUCGAAGGUGUCGGGCGUAGGCCCGCCUGGAGCCACCGCCGGUGCAGAUCUUGGUGGUAGUAGCAAAUACUCGAGUGAGAACCUUGAGGACUGAAGUGGAGAAGGGUUCCAUGUGAACAGCAGUUGAACAUGGGUCAGUCGGCCCUAAGGAAUAGGGGAAACCCGUUCCGAAGCGGGGUGUUCGUGCAACACGACCCCGGCUGACCGAAAGGGAAUCGGGUUAAUAUUCCCGAACCCGGAUGCGGAAGUCGGACCCUUCGGGGUCCAAUGCGGUAACGCAAACGAACUCGGAGACGUCGGCGGGAGUCCCGGGAAGAGUUGUCUUUUCUUUGUAAGGGACGGACUCCCUGGAAUCGGCUCGACCGGAGAGAGGGAUGUUGUUCCCGUAAAGCACCGCGGCUCUUGCGGUGUCCGGAGCGCUCCCGCCGGCCCUUGAAAAUCCGAGGGAGAGAAUUUGAUUUUCGCACCGGACCGUACCCAUAUCCGCAGCAGGUCUCCAAGGUGAACAGCCUCUAGUCGAUAGAACAAUGUAGGUAAGGGAAGUCGGCAAGCCAGAUCCGU
rnacentral:rRNA from 1 species